UCCAAAAAAUGACAUACUAUAGUAUGACAUACGAAACAUUUCCAUGUUUCGUAUGUCAUUUUUUUGGACAUUUUCAACGUCAUAGUAUAGUAUGUCAUUUUUUUGGAUAUUUUCGACGUCAAACGAUAACUUUUAGAUGACAGGAGGCGAUUCUUAGGAUUUGGUUGAUGUGGUAGAAUAUGGAGAGAUUACUGUCAAAGAUGACUCCCAAGGUCGCAGGUGUCAGUGGAGCAAGACGAAGUGGGGUUGUCAGUGGUGAAACUGAAGUUGAUGGCGGUUUCGGUGAGGAGUUUGGGACAGACAACCAUGAUGUCUGGCUUGUCACAGUUGAAUUGGAGAAAGUUUGAGUGCAUCAAUGACAUCAGGUCAGUGUGGAGUAACCCAUCAUCGGCAUAGCAGUGGAAGUGGAACCCAGGGGCAUCAUGUACAGGAUGGAUGGUAGAGACCAAGCACCAAGCCGAGGGGAUGCCUUGUGAUUGAAGAUAGUUGGAGAAGGUGCAGUUGUUGGUUCUGAUGAAGGGUAUUGUAUUAGGUAUGUUUUAUCUUUUGUGUUAGCAUGUUAAUGUUUGAUAAUUGGAUGGUACAAAGUUGAAGUUAAAUUAAACUUGUCUUAGACAUAAGAAGUAAGUAAAUGUGUCAGUUUUAACUGAAUUGAUCUCUGUCAUAUUUCUAUUCAGUCCACGUGGGACCUGAGCUGCUCCACACCUACUCAAAGUUCUACAAGCACGAUAUUCUCCUGCUGGUUGUUCGUCUGGCUGUGCUGGCCGCUGUCACACUCACGGUUCCUGUGGUGCUCUUCCCUAUUCGUACCUCAGUCGGCCACCUGCUGUUCC